CCUACGGGUGGCAGCAGUGGGGAAUAUUGCACAAUGGGCGAAACUCUGAUGCAGCGACGCCGCGUGAGUGAAGAAGUAAUUCGUUACGUAAAGCUCUAUCAGGAGGGAAGAAAAUGACUGUACCUGAGUAAGCAGCCGUUGCUAACUACGUGCCAGCAGCCGCGGUAAUACGCAGGGGGCAAGCGUUAAUCGGAUUUACUGGGGGUAAAGGUAGCGUAGACGGCAGUGCAAGUCUGGAGUGAAAGGCGUGGGCUCAACCGCCGGACAGCUCUGGAUACUGUACGGUUGGAGUGCAGGAGAGGUUAGUGGAAUUCCAGGUGUAGCAGUGAAAUGCGUAGAUAUUAGGAGGAACACCAGUGGCGAAGGCGGCUUACUGGACUGUAACUGACGUUGAGGCUCGAAAGCGUGGGGAGCAAACAGGAUUAGAUACCCUAGUAGUC
rnacentral:rRNA from 1 species